UGAGGAACUUGUCCCGGUCUCUGGAAUAACAGGUGGAAACACCUGCUAAUACCGGAUGACGUCGGACCAUCGCAUGAUGGUCUGACGAAAGGGUUACCGGAUCGGGAGAGCCUCGCGGCCUAUCAGCUUGUUGGUGAGGUAACGGCUCACCAAGGCAUCGACGGGUAGCUGGUCUGAGAGGAUGAUCAGCCACACUGGGACUGAGACACGGCCCAGACCUCUAACGGGGA
rnacentral:rRNA from 1 species